AGGAUUCUGAGGAGCUGCAAUCUCAUAGGAGAGCUACCUGGUUAUCUAGCAAAAAUGAUAACCUUAAAAAUAUUAGACCUCAGCUUCAACAAACUGAGGGGCGAAAUCCCUCCUUCCUUUAGCAGCCUCUGGGGAGUUGAUUAUAUCUAUCUGACUGGAAACCAAUUGACUGGAGCAGUCCCUGGUUGGAUCCUGCAGAAAGC